GACGAACGCUGGCGGCGUGCUUAACACAUGCAAGUCGAACGGAAAGGCCCUGCUUUUGUGGGGUGCUCGAGUGGCGAACGGGUGAGUAACACGUGAGUAACCUGCCCUUGACUUUGGGAUAACUUCAGGAAACUGGGGCUAAUACCGGAUAGGAGCUCCUGCUGCAUGGUGGGGUUGGAAAGUUUCGGCGGUUGGGGAUGGACUCGCGGCUUAUCAGCUUGUUGGUGGGGUAGUGGCUUACCAAGGCUUUGACGGGUAGCCGGCCUGAGAGGGUGACCGGCCACAUUGGGACUGAGAUACGGCCCAGACUCCUACGGGAGGCAGCAGUGGGGAAUAUUGCACAAUGGGCGGAAGCCUGAUGCAGCAGCGCCGCGUGCGGGAUGACGGCCUUCGGGUUGUAAACCGCUUUCGCCUGUGACGAAGCGUGAGUGACGGUAAUGGGUAAAGAAGCACCGGCUAACUACGUG
rnacentral:rRNA from 1 species